AGAGUUUGAUCCUGGCUCAGGAUGAACGCUGGCGGCGUGCCUAAUGCAUGCAAGUCGGACGGUACUCUGAUUUCGGUUAGAGUGCAGUGGCGAACGGCUGAGUAACGCAAAGGUAACCUACCCCUCAGUGGGGAAUAUCUCCGAGAAAUCGGAGCCAAUACCGCAUGUCGUCCUCACACGCGAGUGUGAUGAUGAAAGCUCUCGGGCGCUGGGGGAUGGGCUUUUGUCCCAUCAGGCAGUUGGCAGGGUAACGGCCUACCAAACCGAAGACGGGUAGCUGGUCUGAGAGGAUGGUCAGCCAGAUGGGGACUGAGAUACGGCCCCAACUCCUACGGGAGGCAGCAGCAAGGGAUAUUGCGCAAUGGACGAAAGUCUGACGCAGCGACGCCGCGUGAGGGAUGAAGGCCUUCGGGUCGUAAACCUCUUUUAUUGGUGAAGAGCAAGGACGGUAACCAAUGAAUAAGCCUCGGCUAACUACGUGCCAGCAGCCGCGGUAAUACGUAGGAGGCGAGCGUUAUCCGGAUUUACUGGGCAUAAAGCGCGUGUAGGCGGCUUUUUAAGUUGGCAGUGAAAGGUUCCGGCUCAACUGGGAUUCGCCUGUCAAUACUGAAGAGCUUGAGGGCACCAGAGGAAAGUGGAACUCGCGGUGUAGCGGUGAAAUGUGUAGAUAUCGCGAGGAACACCAGUGGCGAAGGCGGCUUUCUGGGGUGUUCCUGACGCUGAGGCGCGAAAGCGUGGGGAGCGAAGCGGAUUAGAUACCCGCGUAGUCCACGCCCUAAACGGUGGAUCUUGGUAUGGGGGGGUAUCGACCCCCUCCGUGCCGAAGCUAACGCUUUAAGUAUCCCGCCUGGGAACUACGGUCGCAAGACUAAAACUCAAAGGAAUUGACGG
rnacentral:rRNA from 1 species